rnacentral:misc_RNA from 1 species
GAAUAAUCUCAUAUUUUAUGCCAAAGAUGAGGAUAUAUUCAACUGAUAUAUGACGAGUAUAUGCACAAUAAAGCCUGAAGUAGCCUUGCAGGAAUUCUUAUUUUAGCAGCAGGACCAAGAGCUAGCUGCAACAUACAGCUUUUGCCAAUUCAAAAAACAAAGCACACACAUUCUGUAACACAAACAUACUGAUCUUACAAAAUCCAGGAUUUUUUUGGACUCUAUGAAUUGGAAACACAUCUGAAUUUCAGUCAUCCUCAUCUUCCCCCUCCUCGUCCUCAUCCUCAUCCUCCUGCAUAUAUAAAAAAAAAACAAGUUAUAUCGGGAUCAAAUAAACAAGCAGCAAAAUAUUAAAAAUAGCAAUGUGCUGGUACUAGCUGAAAGUGCUGAACAAAUUUCUGAGCUCAUGAAACACAUCAUGGAAUAAGUGGAGUCAAUCUACCCAUCAUACAGAACCCAAAAUCAUUACUAAUACCAACCCAGGAAGUGAAGUUAAAUAAUUUAAUAUAAUUAACCAUUUGGGAAUUAUCAUAUAAUUCAGGCAAAUCCUCAUGGAAAUUAAGCAGGUAGACCAGGACCUUAUGCUGAUGAAACCUUAAAUAAAUGCUGCAGAGUCCAAUACUAAGAACCAAAGUCACCAAUAUAGCCAUUGGGUUAGUAGCUGAGUAGUCAAAUGUCCACCUUGUAAUAUAGGAAUUCAGGGGUGCAAAGUGCAAACCCUGACGGUCACAAGCAAUCCUAAAACGCAAGAGUGAAGACCUCUUCAAUUUUGAUCGUGUAAAAGAAUGAAAAGUGCACAUUUAGAUGAUGGAUAGUUCAAUCCAAUAAAAAAAAAAUGAUAGUGUCAUAGAAUUUAGAGUUCAAACACUGGCAGAUGUCAGACAUCAAUGGGUGACAAAAAGUAUUACCUCUGCACUCUCCUCAUCAUCACUCACUUCAGAUUUGGAUUUCUCAGACUCUUCAUUACCAUCAUCAUCAUCUGAACUUUCCUGUUUCUUGUUGUAGGCAGUCAUAAGCUUAUCAUAUUCUGAUUUCCUUUUGGCUGAUUUGGCUUCGUAAGGAGCUUUCUCCUGACAUAUCCAAGCAGAAGAGAAAUUUAAUGAGUGACGCAUUUUUAACGCAAGCUAGCUAAUUCAAAUAAUCAUAUAUUUGCUACAUGUCCACCAAUUAUUCCUUUUAAAUCGUCAGGCACUAUGCAGUGUGAGCAUUCAGGACACUGUAGUCUACAGCUCACUACUAGCAUUGGCUGCUUGUGCUUGGCUAUGCUAAGAAGUCCCAAUUUCACCCAACAUUUGCUUAGUGCAUAUAAUGCAAGGUCUAAGAACCUUACAAGUAGCAUCCAUACGAUUUUCUAAGAUUAAAGUAUCCAAUUUCAGUAGGACGCCGCACAAUUUGUUGUGCUUAAGAGAUCCAUUCAAAUCAAAUUCAAGAUGCUGAAAAGAGGUAUUUUAGUACUUACUGCAUUAGACAGAGAUUUCCAUUUCUCUCCUCCAGCUUUUGCCACCUUCAAUCACAUGAUCAAGUAACCAAAAUGAUCUAUCGAAGUCUAAAGCAACUUAGUACUAACAAACAAUACACUAAGUGUAUGUUUGGUUCAAUGUAAUUGAUCAUAAUGAAAUGAUUUCUUAGUUCAUUAUUGCAUCAAAAUUUUUAGUUGAUUACAUUUCAUUAUGUUCAAUUACAUCAUAUCAAACAUACACAAAGUUCAUCAGCAGCUUACAGCUGAGACGGCCUUCACGUUGGGGUGCUCUUGUUUGUAAGUCUUUCUAAACUCUUCUCUAUAUGUAUUUAAAUCACACUAUCAUUAGUAAAACUUCUAUGUAGAAAACCAAACCAUUCUACAAUUAAGAUAAGACUUACAGAAAGACGAAAAAAGCACUUGGAGGCCUCUUUGGCUUGUUAGGAUCAUUCUUCCCAACUUUAUCUUUGUUUGCCGGUUUUUUGCUACUCUUAUUAACCUUUAAAGCAGCUUUUCGCUUUCCAACUUUCCUAUCAUCUACAGGCUUUAAUACUUCCUUCUUGUCCUUCCUGGGUUCCCUCUUUCCUUUGGCAAUUUUCAUGGCUAGAAGCCUAGCACCAGUAUUCCAAAUAUAACAAUGAUAUGAUCAAGUAAAUAAUGAGCUUAGAUUUGGCUAUGGCUUGAUCCCCAUGAUUGUAAUCAUAUAAUACUUUAUAUAUUUAAAUAUAUGAUUAAAGAAAGCACCAAUUUAAUAAUCAUAAAAUCACAUAAUAAAGAUGAUGAGAAAGAGGAUCACAUAUUAUUAUAACACCCCAAGGGAAAAUCUAAACAAUAACUAAGCUUUAAUCUCAAACUAAUGAAAUCGACCAUUCAGCAUCCAUAUCAAAAAUUAUAAAUCUAAAGAAAAAAUCAAACAAGUGGGGAAAAAUCAAGUAAAAAAAUAUAAGAAAAAGAAUCGUAUAACAAUCAACCAAUAGUAAACCCAAAUCAGAACUUGUAUGAAGCAAACAAAGUUGAAAGAAUCAGUUACCUCUUCAGUAGAAAAGCUUUGAAAGAACAGGCAGAAACAUAAACAGAGCAAAGCAAAGUAAAAGCAGAGAUGAAGAGAGAGAGAGAGGGAGAGAUGCGGAGAAGAUAUUUGAGGUGGGGACAGAAACGGAAACGUGUGAACUGUUUGGUACAAGCAAGGGUCGAAGAAAAUGAUUUGUCGGGCAGUGAUCGAGUUACCAGGAGAGGAUCUAAGCUUCCUCACUUGAUGGAUUUUGAUUGGCUCAUGUGAUGCCCAGUCUAGCUUAAAGCCAGAGUAUGAUCGUCACAGGUCUUGUGUCCUG